AAAAGAUAAAACACGGCACAAUAUUAUCGGCUAAUGUUGUUUUGUCACACCCAGGCUUUAAUCAGAACAUGGCUAAGGAUGGACAAAAGUCAUUGAUGUUUAUUUUUAUGCAGACCAUCAUCGAAGAACCCAGAGAGACACGGGAGAAAAGUCCACACAGACACCAAAACAGCUGUGAUUCACCGAGGCCUGGUCUGAAGGUGUGCUGGCACUGAGACGUUAGCAGAAUUCCUGUACAUUGUGACAUGGGGGCUCCAGGAAUCAGAGCGUCACACUGCCUCUGCUGACUCGCCUUCUUCAUAUAGUGCAUCCCGGUGCCUCAGGUAAGCGACACACAAACACCCGGCCAUCCGUAUUACACUGAGCGCCUCUAUAUAAGUCUGUAUACGAAUAUACUGUCUGAUUGGUCUGAAAGUGUUGCAGCUCUGGAUUCCGAGUCUUAUAUUGAAUGUUAAUCGAUUUUAUUUGAAUACAUUAACAUAAUACAAGCCUAAUGAUACACAGCCUUUUUUUGUUAUUUAAAAAAGGAAAGAAAACCGUGGUUGAUAAAGUGCUUGCUGUAAGAAAGCAGACAAGACGACUCGGCGUUUACGGAAGGAGUCUCCAGUGUCAGUGUCACAUGAACAGCUGCAGGGUGAUAGAACAAAUUUGAUCAGAUUUUAUUACACGGAAAUUUGUCACUAUAAAAGUAUCGUCUCAGGUAUUCAAAUGAAAUCUCACAGGAUUGUACAGAUCAGCUGCAGAAACGAACAUUCGAGCUCUUCUACACAGUUACGGCUUCUAUUUUUCACCUCUGCCUCUUUAAACCUUUGAUCAGUGUACUACCGUGAGUUCUGUUUGCAUUACCUGGACAUACGGUAUAUUAGAAACCCUGGAAUUUCAAACUUGGAAGCACGAGCCGAGUGAAAACAAGUCCUGACGCACUCGUUCCCGGAGCGUAGGAUGUGGUUAUGAGGCCGUGUGUGUCAGCAGUGUGUGCCGAAAUUAUUUUUGGGGUGAGGUACGCUUCCAUUACUCCAGAUGCAAAGCUACAAAAACACCAAACACUGAACACCGCACGUCCUGCUGGAGUGAUUGACUUUUGAGGUGAAGUGGAAAACUUCAAUACAGGAACUAAAAGACCCAAAAUGGCCACCGUGAUUACGUUCCUCUACACCGGAACCCGACGUCACCGUUUCACCCUGAAGUGGGUUAUUUUUCAACGGUGGAAAGUGCUUUAACGCUCAAACGCCACAAUUUGGCAAGUUGCAUUAAUUCAGUGGUGAUAUUGAGCGGUGGUAGCUCCAGUGGUUAAGACUCUGGGUUGUUGACUGGAAGAUCGGGGGGUUCAAGCCCCAGCGCUGCCAAGCUGCCACUGUUGGGCCCUUGAGCAAGGCCCCCA